rnacentral:rRNA from 1 species
UAGCGUAUAUUAAAGUUGUUUCAGUUAAAAAGCUCGUAGUUGGAUUUGUGGUGUGUCUAGUCGGCCUUUGCUCUUUGAGUGAUUGUGCUGUACUGGUCUGCCAUGUUUGGGUGGAAUCUGUGUGGCAUUAGGUUGUCGUGCAGGGGAUGCCCAUCGUUUACUGUGAAAAAAUUAGAGUGUUCAAAGCAGGCUUAUGCCGUUGAAUAUAUUAGCAUGGAAUAAUGAUAUAGGACCUUGGUACUAUUUUGUUGGUUUGCGCACUAAGGUAAUGAUUAAGAGGGACAGUUGGGGGUAUUUGUAUUCCAUUGUCAGAGGUGAAAUUCUUGGAUUUUUGGAAGACAA